GCGGGGAUGCCGGAGCGGUCAAACGGGGUAGCGUUUGAAGCCAUCUACUGGCUUAGUGCCUACGCGGGUUCAAAUCCUGUUCCCCGCA
rnacentral:tRNA from 1 species